rnacentral:rRNA from 1 species
GACGAACGCUGGCGGCGUGCCUAAUACAUGCAAGUAGAACGCUGAAGAGAGGAGCUUACUCUUCUUGGAUGAGUUGCGAACGGGUGAGUAACGCGUAGGUAACCUGCCUUGUAGCGGGGGAUAACUAUUGGAAACGAUAGCUAAUACCGCAUAACAAUGGAUGACACAUGUCAUUUAUUUGAAAGGGGCAAUUGCUCCACUACAAGAUGGACCUGCGUCGUAUUAGCUAGUAGGUGAGGUAAUGGCUCACCUAGGCGACGAUACAUAGCCGACCUGAGAGGGUGAUCGGCCACACUGGGACUGAGACACGGCCCAGACUCCUACGGGAGGCAGCAGUAGGGAAUCUUCGGCAAUGGGGGCAACCCUGACCGAGCAACGCCGCGUGAGUGAAGAAGGUUUUCAGAUCGUAAAGCUCUGUUGUAAGUCAAGAACGGGUGUGAGAGUGGAAAGUUCACACUGUGACGGUAGCUUACCAGAAAGGGACGGCUAACUACGU